GACGAACGCUGGCGGCGUGCUUAACACAUGCAAGUCGAACGGAAAGGCCCCUUUGGGGGUACUCGAGUGGCGAACGGGUGCGUAACACGUGAGUAACCUGCCCUUGACUUCGGGAUAACUUCAGGAAACUGGGGCUAAUACCGGAUAGGAAUCCUUGCUGCAUGGUGGGGGUUGGAAAGCUUCGGCGGUUUUGGAUGGACUCGCGGCUUAUCAGCUUGUUGGUGGGGUAGUGGCUUACCAAGGCUUUGACGGGUAGCCGGCCUGAGAGGGCGACCGGCCACAUUGGGACUGAGAUACGGCCCAGACUCCUACGGGUGGCAGCAGUGGGGAAUAUUGCACAAUGGGCGGAAGCCUGAUGCAGCAACGCCGCGUGCGGGAUGACGGCCUUCGGGUUGUAAACCGCUUUCAGCAGGGGCGAAGCUUGUGGUGACGGUACCUGCAGAAGAAGCACCGGCUAACUACGUG
rnacentral:rRNA from 1 species